AUGAACGCUGGCGGCGUGCCUAAUACAUGCAAGUCGAGCGAACGGACGAGAAGCUUGCUUCUCUGAUGUUAGCGGCGGACGGGGGAGUAACACGUGGAUAACCUACCUAUAAGACUGGGAUAACUUAGGGAAACCGGAGCUAAUACCGGAUAAUAUUUUGAACCGCAUGGUUCAAAAGUGAAAGACGGUCUUGCUGUCACUUAUAGAUGGAUCCGCGCUGCAUUAGCUAGUUGGUAAGGUAACGGCUUACCAAGGCAACGAUGCAUAGCCGACCUGAGAGGGUGAUCGGCCACACUGGAACUGAGACACGGUCCAGACUCCUACGGGAGGCAGCAGUAGGGAAUCUUCCGCAAUGGGCGAAAGCCUGACGGAGCAACGCCGCGUGAGUGAUGAAGGUCUUCGGAUCGUAAAACUCUGUUAUUAGGGAAGAACAUAUGUGUAAGUAACUGUGCACAUCUUGACGGUACCUAAUCAGAAAGCCACGGCUAACUACGUG
rnacentral:rRNA from 1 species